CAAUUUAGAAAAUAUAUUACAAUAUGAUUUAUAAAAAAGUUAUAUACUCAUCUAGAAUUACUCAUAUGCACUGAGUAGUUGUUUAUAUAGUUUAUGUUUAAAAGAUUGAAGUGAUUUCUCUGAUUUGAACUCUGGUAACAACGAGUUCCAUAAUUUGGCUCCUCUAAAACUAAAAGUUCGCUGUCCUGUGACAAGGCGACAAAGAGGCAAAUGUAAAUCACUAGUGUUUCUUGUAACUCUGG